rnacentral:rRNA from 1 species
UACGGGGGGGAGCAAGCGUUGUUCGGAUUUACUGGGCGUAAAGGGCGCGUAGGCGGUCGUGACAAGUCACUUGUGAAAUCUCCGGGCUUAACUCGGAACGGUCAAGUGAUACUGUCGGACUAGAGUACAGAAGGGGCAACUGGAAUUCUCGGUGUAGCGGUGAAAUGCGUAGAUAUCGAGAGGAACACCUGCGGCGAAGGCGGGUUGCUGGGCUGAUACUGACGCUGAGGGACGAAAGCUAGGGGAGCGAAAGGG